UAAGGGCGCACGGUGGAUGCCUUGGCACUAGAAGCCGAUGAAGGACGUUACUAACGACGAUAUGCUUUGGGGAGCUGUAAGUAAGCUUUGAUCCAGAGAUUUCCGAAUGGGGAAACCCAGCAUGAGUUAUGUCAUGUUAUCGAUAUGUGAAUACAUAGCAUAUCAGAAGGCACACCCGGAGAACUGAAACAUCUUAGUACCCGGAGGAAGAGAAAGAAAAUUCGAUUCCCUUAGUAGCGGCGAGCGAAACGGGAAGAGCCCAAACCAACAAGCUUGCUUGUUGGGGUUGUAGGACACUCUAUACGGAGUUACAAAGGACGACAUUAGACGAAUCAUCUGGAAAGAUGAAUCAAAGAAGGUAAUAAUCCUGUAGUCGAAAAUGUUGUCUCUCUUGAGUGGAUCCUGAGUACGACGGAGCACGUGAAAUUCCGUCGGAAUCUGGGAGGACCAUCUCCUAAGGCUAAAUACUCUCUAGUGACCGAUAGUGAACCAGUACCGUGAGGGAAAGGUGAAAAGCACCCCGGAAGGGGAGUGAAAUAGAACCUGAAACCGUGUGCUUACAAGUAGUCAGAGCCCGUUAAUGGGUGAUGGCGUGCCUUUUGUAGAAUGAACCGGCGAGUUACGAUUUGAUGCAAGGUUAAGCAGUAAAUGUGGAGCCGUAGCGAAAGCGAGUCUGAAUAGGGCGUUUAGUAUUUGGUCGUAGACCCGAAACCAGGUGAUCUACCCUUGGUCAGGUUGAAGUUCAGGUAACACUGAAUGGAGGACCGAACCGACUUACGUUGAAAAGUGAGCGGAUGAACUGAGGGUAGCGGAGAAAUUCCAAUCGAACCUGGAGAUAGCUGGUUCUCUCCGAAAUAGCUUUAGGGCUAGCCUCAAGUGAUGAUUAUUGGAGGUAGAGCACUGUUUGGACGAGGGGCCCCUCUCGGGUUACCGAAUUCAGACAAACUCCGAAUGCCAAUUAAUUUAACUUGGGAGUCAGAACAUGGGUGAUAAGGUCCGUGUUCGAAAGGGAAACAGCCCAGACCACCAGCUAAGGUCCCAAAAUAUAUGUUAAGUGGAAAAGGAUGUGGCGUUGCCCAGACAACUAGGAUGUUGGCUUAGAAGCAGCCAUCAUUUAAAGAGUGCGUAAUAGCUCACUAGUCGAGUGACACUGCGCCGAAAAUGUACCGGGGCUAAACAUAUUACCGAAGCUGUGGAUUGUCCUUUGGACAAUGGUAGGAGAGCGUUCUAAGGGCGUUGAAGCAUGAUCGUAAGGACAUGUGGAGCGCUUAGAAGUGAGAAUGCCGGUGUGAGUAGCGAAAGACGGGUGAGAAUCCCGUCCACCGAUUGACUAAGGUUUCCAGAGGAAGGCUCGUCCGCUCUGGGUUAGUCGGGUCCUAAGCUGAGGCCGACAGGCGUAGGCGAUGGAUAACAGGUUGAUAUUCCUGUACCACCUAUAAUCGUUUUAAUCGAUGGGGGGACGCAGUAGGAUAGGCGAAGCGUGCGAUUGGAUUGCACGUCUAAGCAGUAAGGCUGAGUAUUAGGCAAAUCCGGUACUCGUUAAGGCUGAGCUGUGAUGGGGAGAAGACAUUGUGUCUUCGAGUCGUUGAUUUCACACUGCCGAGAAAAGCCUCUAGAUAGAAAAUAGGUGCCCGUACCGCAAACCGACACAGGUAGUCAAGAUGAGAAUUCUAAGGUGAGCGAGCGAACUCUCGUUAAGGAACUCGGCAAAAUGACCCCGUAACUUCGGGAGAAGGGGUGCUCUUUAGGGUUAACGCCCAGAAGAGCCGCAGUGAAUAGGCCCAAGCGACUGUUUAUCAAAAACACAGGUCUCUGCUAAACCGUAAGGUGAUGUAUAGGGGCUGACGCCUGCCCGGUGCUGGAAGGUUAAGAGGAGUGGUUAGCUUCUGCGAAGCUACGAAUCGAAGCCCCAGUAAACGGCGGCCGUAACUAUAACGGUCCUAAGGUAGCGAAAUUCCUUGUCGGGUAAGUUCCGACCCGCACGAAAGGCGUAACGAUUUGGGCACUGUCUCAACGAGAGACUCGGUGAAAUCAUAGUACCUGUGAAGAUGCAGGUUACCCGCGACAGGACGGAAAGACCCCGUGGAGCUUUACUGUAGCCUGAUAUUGAAAUUCGGCACAGCUUGUACAGGAUAGGUAGGAGCCUUUGAAACGUGAGCGCUAGCUUACGUGGAGGCGCUGGUGGGAUACUACCCUAGCUGUGUUGGCUUUCUAACCCGCACCACUUAUCGUGGUGGGAGACAGUGUCAGGCGGGCAGUUUGACUGGGGCGGUCGCCUCCUAAAAGGUAACGGAGGCGCUCAAAGGUUCCCUCAGAAUGGUUGGAAAUCAUUCAUAGAGUGUAAAGGCAUAAGGGAGCUUGACUGCGAGACCUACAAGUCGAGCAGGGUCGAAAGACGGACUUAGUGAUCCGGUGGUUCCGCAUGGAAGGGCCAUCGCUCAACGGAUAAAAGCUACCCCGGGGAUAACAGGCUUAUCUCCCCCAAGAGUUCACAUCGACGGGGAGGUUUGGCACCUCGAUGUCGGCUCAUCGCAUCCUGGGGCUGUAGUCGGUCCCAAGGGUUGGGCUGUUCGCCCAUUAAAGCGGUACGCGAGCUGGGUUCAGAACGUCGUGAGACAGUUCGGUCCCUAUCCGUCGUGGGCGUAGGAAAUUUGAGAGGAGCUGUCCUUAGUACGAGAGGACCGGGAUGGACAUACCUCUGGUGUACCAGUUGUCGUGCCAACGGCAUAGCUGGGUAGCUAUGUGUGGACGGGAUAAGUGCUGAAAG
rnacentral:rRNA from 1 species